GUGGGGAAUAUUGGACAAUGGGCGCAAGCCUGAUCCAGCCAUGCCGCGUGAGUGAUGAAGGCCUUCGGGUUGUAAAGCUCUUUAGUCCACGAAUAUAAUGACUGUAGUGGAAGAAUAAGCCCCGGCUAACUUCGUGCCAGCAGCCGCGGUAAUACGAAGGGGGCGAGCGUUAUUCGGAAUCACUGGGCGUAAAGCGUGCGUAGGCUGUGUUGUAAGUCAGAAGUGAAAGCCCAGGGCUUAACCCUGGAAUUGCUUUUGAAACUACAAGACUCGAAUUCGGGAGAGGAUAGCGGAAUUGUCAGUGUAGCAGUGAAAUGCGUAGAUAUUGACAGGAACACCAGUGGCGCAAGCGGCUAUCUGGACCGAUAUUGACGCUGAGGCACGAAAGCGUGGGGAGCAAACAGGAUUAGAUACCCCAGUAGUCC
rnacentral:rRNA from 1 species